GAUGAACGCUGGCGGCGUGCCUAAUACAUGCAAGUCGAGCGAACAGACGAGGAGCUUGCUCCUCUGACGUUAGCGGCGGACGGGUGAGUAACACGUGGAUAACCUACCUAUAAGACUGGGAUAACUUCGGGAAACCGGAGCUAAUACCGGAUAAUAUAUUGAACCGCAUGGUUCAAUAGUGAAAGACGGUUUUGCUGUCACUUAUAGAUGGAUCCGCGCCGCAUUAGCUAGUUGGUAAGGUAACGGCUUACCAAGGCAACGAUGCGUAUCCGACCUGAGAGGGUGAUCGGCCACACUGGAACUGAGACACGGUCCAGACUCCUACGGGAGGCAGCAGUAGGGAAUCUUCCGCAAUGGGCGAAAGCCCGACGGAGCAACGCCGCGUGAGUGAUGAAGGUCUUCGGAUCGUAAAACUCUGUUAUUAGGGAAGAACAAAUGUGUAAGUAACUAUGCACGUCUUGACGGUACCUAAUCAGAAAGCCACGGCUAACUACGUG
rnacentral:rRNA from 1 species